GGGGCGGUAGCUCAGCUGGUCAGAGCAGUGGACUCAUAAUCCAUGGGUCGCGGGUUCAAGUCCCGCCCGCCCUA
rnacentral:tRNA from 1 species